rnacentral:lncRNA from 1 species
UCACCCUCAAGCUGGGCACUUUAGUUCUGGGUGUGGGGAUAAAAUGCUACCCCAAAUACUAAAGUCACUGACAUGAAUCCAAGUCCCUCGGCUGCCUUGUGUCCCCAGCACCCUGCGCUUGUCUAGGAGAGCUGCUGUCCCCCAAGAAACACCGGGAGACCAGCCUGGUGGUGGCUUCGUGGUGACCCCUGCAAGACCAGUCCUGCCGUUCCCAACUUGGAUUGGGGUUGUGGGACAGGGAGGGUGCUCAGCUCCUGGCCUGGGAGGAAAGGAGAACAAAAGCUUCACAUAGAUUAACAAGCUUCACACGGUCCUUCCUGGACAAAGCUAUUCCCAUCAGUGGACCACACCUCUGCAGGGCCUUGGAGGGGCAGUCACUGAUGUCCUGCCUGCUUGCAAAGUCUGACAGAUCACAUGUUCACAAGAAUGGCUAACCUCUGAGCCUGCAGGCAUCAAAGAAGGAGGAUUGUAGUACCUAUGCUGCUGAA